rnacentral:lncRNA from 1 species
AGUGCAGUGGGCGCGGACUUGGGGUCGUGCUGGGUGGGGGAGAGGGAAAAUACAGUGUUAUUAGUUCAGGAAGAACGGACAGUAAAAUGAAGCAGCGAGGAAUUGGAAGAUGGAUUAAGGAGCCUUGCAGUGAAGAAAGCGACGAGUAGAAGAACUUUUGACGAAGCAACAAGUGGCGACCAAAUUGCCGAAAGGUAUUUGGGUGUUUCGCUUCCUUCGCUUCGUGGUGAUUCGAGUUGCCAUUUGAUUGCUGCUGCUGCAGCUCCACGUGAUCGAUCGUACAAGCACGAAGGGAAAGGUCGUUGUGUUCGCGGAUAAAGGAUUUCCUGCGUGGAGGUUUACAGUUAAAUCUCGUGUGCUCCGUUCGUCGUCGGGGUGGUCCGAGCCCCGAGGUGACUUUCGGGGUUCCCGGUCGUCACACGUCACCGUGUGGUUACAAGGGUAAUCGCGACACGACCCUUUGAGUUGUCUGGUCACGAAGUUCAACCAAACUCGGUGACGCAGUUACGUAACGGUUGGUUGGACCGUUGGAGGAUCCGCUCUGAGUCCGGGGGGGGGGGGAGGUGGUUCGAACCCCGGACGAGUCGUACAAAAGGAUUUAAAACAUGCUGGUGGCAACGAUUUCGUGUUGUGAAGAUGAACACCAACCAAUGUGCUGUAGUUGUCGUGGUCUAGUGUGAAGAAAAGGAAUGCAAGUGAUUCCAAUACCUCCACAUAAAGUACAAAGUUUUUCUCUCUGUGUCACCUGACAAAGAUGAGUUUGAGGAUCUCCACUCUACCAUGUCCCAAUACUGAAAGGAAUAGAAUACUCCAUGAUGCAACACUGCACAGCUCUCUUCUCCGAGUGACUGUGAAAUCGAACCUCGAAUAAUGAUGUCUCAAAGAGCCUGUCAUUACCCUGUGGUGCUCGCCAGACUCCCCAGCAUGUUUGCUCAUCCUGCGCAGCUUUUGGAGAGAAGAGGUUUUGACCAUGACAUGUCACAAUCUUGGGAUGAGCUGCGUAGAGGGGGGGGGGG